AAAAAUCCUACGGGGCAGGAGUUAGCAAUCCAUCGAUUAUUUAUUGGUAGCCAUUAAACAAUUUCUAUUCGCGCGCUAACCACCGGCGCGGUUUUGCACCCGAGAAACCAUAUAGAGCUGCUCUAGUGGUGGUCGUCACAGGACCGGACAGGACAGGACAGGGCAGUGGACGACGGUGCAUGCGGCCAUGGACCAAGACCUGAAGUAGGCUAUAACUAAUGGUGCCACACCCGGGGGAACUUGGAUUUAGACAUUAAUCAGAGCACAAACAAAUAAGGUGGAACGAACAAACAUCAGCCGAAUGCGAAUGCGGCAACAACAAAAAAUGACUGCUCGCUACUUGGUGUAGGCACAGAAAUACCCACCCACCGACCGACCGACCGACUGAUAUGCAAAUGUGCAGGUGCAGUUAAACUGCUAUGGCGUGCAAAUUCCUGUACUGUAUUUAUCAAUAUUCUCGCAGU